CUACCACGCCACGGGUUGGCCCUGGAGAGUCAACGAGAUAAACUACUUGAGAGGGUGUGACAACCUCUCACACACGGUCAGUCCUCGCAGACUUCCCUGGAGGCAGCGCAGCCAAAGAAACAGCCAGCCUGCUGGUCAGACUGAAACCCCCACCAGGUGGAAGAAGUUAACUGAAUGAUGACCACCAAGCCCGUAGACCCCAGGCGGGCUGGAACCAGAAGGGUCACGCUGACUCCCGAUGACCCUACCAUCAACCAAUCAGAAGAACGGCCACGAGCUGGUCACGUGCCCCCCACCCCCAACCCA